rnacentral:rRNA from 1 species
GAUGAACGCUAGCGAUAGGCUUAACACAUGCAAGUCGAGGGGCAUCAGGGUCUUCGGACCGCUGGCGACCGGCGCACGGGUGAGUAACGCGUAUGCAACCUACCCAUAACUUUGGGAUAGCCCGUUGAAAGACGGAUUAAUACCGAUUAACACAGGGGCACCGCAUGGUGAUAUUUGUUAAAGAUUUAUUGGUUAUGGCUGGGCAUGCGUUGGAUUAGCUCGGUGGUUGGGGUAACGGCUCACCAAGGCAACGACCCAUAGGGGAACGGAGAAGUGUAUCCCCCGCACUGGUACAGAGACAAGGACCAGACGCCUACGGGAGGCAGCAGUGAGGAAUACUUGUCAAUGGGCCAGAGGCUGAACCAGCGAGAUCGCGUGAAGGAUGACUGUAUUAUGUAUUUUAAUCUUCUUUUAUGUGGGAAUAAAAAAGGGGACGCGUCCCUUAUUGCAUGUACCACAUGAAUAAGCAUCGGCUAACUCCGUGCCAGCCGCCGCAGUAA